AAGCGCAGUGCGUUCGGCUCCGCGCCCGCCGCGCCGGGAGCAGCACCGCGGGGCCAGCCUAAGAAGCCGGCCAGGUGUGGUGGUUUAUGCCUAUAAUCCCAGCACUUUGGGAGGCUGAAGCAGGAGGAUCGCCUAAGCUCAGGAGUUCAAGACCAGCUUGGGCAACAUGGUGAGACCUCAUCUCUUAAAAAAAAAAAAAUUCUGAGAAGCAAUAAGGAAGAGUUCUGGAUAAUAGCAGAGGAAAAUUCUUUAAAGAUGACUCCUGAUAUUAGGUGAUAAGCCCAUUCCCCCAACAUUGAACCUCAGGUAUCUGACUUUAGCCUAUUGCCCUUUCUUUGGCCUACACUAGCUCUCUUUGAAUGAUUAAGGCUACUCUUCAGGCUGUAUUAUAUGCAUCUUGUGUGGAUUAGCAGAUGCAUGGCUCCUACCCGGACCCAGACCCCUUUAUCUUUUUUUUUUUUUUUUUUGACAGAGUCUCGCUCUGUUGCCCAGGCUGGA
rnacentral:lncRNA from 1 species